ensembl:rRNA 5S_rRNA 5S ribosomal RNA
GUCUACGGCCAUACCACCCUGAACGCGCCCGAUCCUGUCUGAUCUCGGAAGCUAAGCAGGGUCGGGCCUGGUUAGUACUUGGAUGGGAGAACUCAAUGACAAGAAUCCCCUCCAGGCU